rnacentral:misc_RNA from 1 species
AUUAUCAAAUUUUUGCAUCAUGCUAAAGUUUGGAUCAUGUCGAGGAAGCUAUUGUUAUAACAUACAUAGCUCCUUGGAAAUUCAUAGGUCUUCCAGUAGCUAUAAUUGGAAUGUGAUGAAAAUUCCUUCAUUCAAAUAUAGUUACUUGGAAAGUCCGAAAAUCUAUAUACCUUCUUGGUAUUUUUUGA